rnacentral:rRNA from 1 species
UGGGGAAUAUUGGACAAUGGGCGCAAGCCUGAUCCAGCAAUGCCGCGUGUGUGAAGAAGGCCUUCGGGUUGUAAAGCACUUUUAUCAGGAGCGAAAUACUACCGAUUAAUACUCGGUGGGGCUGACGGUACCUGAGGAAUAAGCACCGGCUAACUUCGUGCCAGCAGCCGCGGUAAUACGAAGGGUGCAAGCGUUAAUCGGAAUUACUGGGCGUAAAGGGUGCGUAGGCGGUUAUUUAAGUCUGCCGUGAAAUCCCCGGGCUCAACCUGGGAAUGGCGGUGGAUACUGGAUAGCUAGAUUGUGUCAGAGGAUGGUGGAAUUCCCGGUGUAGCGGUGAAAUGCGUAGAGAUCAGGAGGAACACCGGCGGUGUAGACGGCUUGCUAGACCAUAACUGACGCUGAGGCACGAAAGCGUGGGUAGCAAACA